rnacentral:rRNA from 1 species
AGAGUUUGAUCAUGGCUCAGGAUGAACGCUGGCGGCGUGCUUAACACAUGCAAGUCGAACGAACCUUCGGGUUAGUGGCGGACGGGUGAGUAACGCGUGAGAAUCUGCCCUCAGGAGGGGGAUAACGGUUGGAAACGACCGCUAAUACCCCAUAUGCCUACUGGUGAAAUGAAUUUCGCCUGAGGAUGAGCUCGCGUCUGAUUAGCUAGUUGGUGAGGUAAUGGCUCACCAAGGCUUCGAUCAGUAGCUGGUCUGAGAGGAUGAUCAGCCACACUGGGACUGAGACACGGCCCAGACUCCUACGGGAGGCAGCAGUGGGGAAUUUUCCGCAAUGGGCGAAAGCCUGACGGAGCAACGCCGCGUGAGGGACGAAGGCCUCUGGGCUGUAAACCUCUUUUCUCAAGGAAGAAGAUAUGACGGUACUUGAGGAAUAAGCCACGGCUAAUUCCGUGCCAGCAGCCGCGGUAAUACGGGAGUGGCAAGCGUUAUCCGGAAUUAUUGGGCGUAAAGCGUCCGCAGGCGGCUUUUCAAGUCUGCUGUUAAAGCGUGGAGCUUAACUCCAUCAUGGCAGUGGAAACUGAAAGGCUUGAGUAUGGUAGGGGCAGAGGGAAUUCCCGGUGUAGCGGUGAAAUGCGUAGAUAUCGGGAAGAACACCAGUGGCGAAGGCGCUCUGCUGGGCCAUUACUGACGCUCAUGGACGAAAGCCAGGGGAGCGAAAGGGAUUAGAUACCCCUGUAGUCCUGGCCGUAAACGAUGAACACUAGGUGUCGGGGGAAUCGACCCCUUCGGUGUCGUAGCUAACGCGUUAAGUGUUCCGCCUGGGGAGUACGCACGCAAGUGUGAAACUCAAAGGAAUUGACGGGGGCCCGCACAAGCGGUGGAGUAUGUGGUUUAAUUCGAUGCAACGCGAAGAACCUUACCAGGGUUUGACAUCCUGCGAACCUCUUAGAAAUUUGAGGGUGCCUUCGGGAAUGCAGUGACAGGUGGUGCAUGGCUGUCGUCAGCUCGUGUCGUGAGAUGUUGGGUUAAGUCCCGCAACGAGCGCAACCCACGUUUUUAGUUGCCAGCAUUUAGUUGGGCACUCUAGAAAGACCGCCGGUGAUAAACCGGAGGAAGGUGUGGAUGACGUCAAGUCAUCAUGUCCCUUACACCCUGGGCUACACACGUACUACAAUGCUACGGACAAAGGGCAGCAAACUCGCGAGAGCUAGCAAAUCCCAUAAACCGUGGCUCAGUUCAGAUCGUAGGCUGCAACUCGCCUACGUGAAGUAGGAAUCGCUAGUAAUCGCAGGUCAGCAUACUGCGGUGAAUACGUUCCCGGGCCUUGUACACACCGCCCGUCACACCAUGGAAGUUGGCCAUGCCCGAAGUCGUUACUCCAACCCUUGUGGAGGAGGACGCCGAAGGUGGGGCUAAUGACUGGGGUGAAGUCAUAACAAGGUAGCCGUA